rnacentral:lncRNA from 1 species
UGGCUGUCCUGGAACUCACUCUAGACCAGGCUGGCCUAGAGCUCAGAAAUCCGCCUGCCUCUGCCUCCCGAGUGCUGGGAUUAAAGGCGUGUGCCACAACGCCCGGCUAGCCACUUCUUUAUGUGAUUUGGAAGUAUAAUUUAAAAAAAAACAGUUAUGCUAAUUAUUCUAUCAGAAGUUUGAAAAUUGUGAUAUUGAGUUGUUGUGGAAUCAUUUUGGUUUCUUGUAGUUUGCUCUCUUCUGGUUUCUGUACUGAGAAACAUAGACAUAGGCUUCAUUUAUGCCUGCAUUUGAGUGGGAAGGCCCAUUAAUAAAAACAGGCUCCUCUCUCUCUCUCUCUCUCUCUCUCUCUCUCUCUCUCUCUCUCUCUCUCUCUCUCUCUCUCGAUUUGAGAGGAAGAUUAAGACAGGGUCUAGUUAUAUAGCCUUGAUUAACCUAGGACUUAGUAUGUUGUAUGUAAAUCAGCCUGACCUUUUAACUUGCAGGGAUUUUUCUUGCUCUUGCCUGGGAUUUUAAGUAUGAGCCAGUAUACCCUUUUUUUUAAUAUAAUUUGACAUUUUGUCUUCCUUGCUGUUGUUAAAAGACCAUUUUUAGUCAAGCUGGAGGGUAUGAGCCCCUGUAGCCCUUUAGAUGAAUGCUAAUUUUCUUCUUUUUUCCCCCCCAUUGUUUUAAUAAUAGAUUAAUAAAUAAAAUAUAUUUUUGAAUUAAAAAUGUGCAUCAUAAAAUGUGUGUUGAGUAUGUUAUGUAAAUCUUUGUUUCAUACAAUGAGCAACUUAAUGAUUCAUUUUAAGGAGUGCUUUGUAUGGCUUAUGUUGUCAUCUUUUUUUUUUUAAAUUGUGUGCUUGUACAUAGGAGCCACUCUCCCCAUGGGAUUGUCAGAGCACAGCACAAGGGAGUCUGUUCUCUCCUUCUACCGCGUGGGUCCUGGGUCCAACACUGUCAGGCUUGAGACCAUUGUUUUUACUCAUGAGUCAUUUCACCAGCCCUGUUACUAUUCUUGAUUAUACCAAGAUUACAGUCUUUAUGUUAAAUUAUAGUAUUCUUGUUUUUUUACAAGAACAAUACAGUCUACUGUUUCCCUAAGUUGAAAGAUGAUACCUUCUCAGUUUUAUUCAGAAUUAAGUAAAUUAAUUUUGUGUUUAUUGGAAUGUUUUUAAACUGAUUUGUGCAAAGAUUACUAGGGAGUUAUGUUUUGACUGUGGUUUCAGGUACAACUGUUACAAUAAAGGGAAUCCACAUUAGACCUUUAUAUCUAGGAUUUGACUUAUUGAUCAGUUCAUAUACAGUAUAAUAUAGAUAUUAAUGUUUCUUUCUCUCUCUCUCUUUCUCCUUUUUUUGGGGUGUAUCUGGACAGGGUGGACCAAGUAAAUUAGUACAAAAACAUUUAGCUGGUUUGUUUAACAGCAUCACAUCAUUUUAUCAUCCUUCAAAUAAUGGGCGUUGGCUGGUAAGUAUGUUCAGUUUCUGUUAUAGUAUUUGAAGAAAUAAAGAUAUAAUUUAGCUAUUGUUUAUCUUAGAACGGUAAUAUUUCUUAUCUGUCAUGUAAGCUUUGGCUAUGUGUAAGUGGUUAGAUCAAAUCUGUGUGUUUGACAUACGUACAUACAUACAUAUGUACACACACACACACAUAUAUACAUACACACUAACUUAACGCCACAUGGCUAUUACUGACAAAAUAAUAAAUAAUGCCACAAAAGCAUAGCCACAUCACGCCAGUUUUAUUUUGUCGAUAUUUUAGCUUUGUUUUGUCUUUUAAUUGACUGAUUAAGUAUCUUUUAAAAAAAAAGAAAUAAUGGAAAAUUUUUAUUUGGUAGGAAUGUACUUUCUUUCACUCCCCUUCUCUUUUAAGACAGGCUCUCACUGUGUAUCCCUGGCUAGCUCAGAACCUACUAUGCACACCAGGUUGGCCUCAAAUUACCAGAAAUCCCUGUGUCUUUGCCUCCUGAACACUCUUAUUAGUGUGUGUUACCAUGCCUGACUAGAAACUGUUUUGAAACAUGAAUUUAAGGCAAGGCAGGAAAGCACAUGACUGUAGUCUUAGCACCCAUGAGACUAUGGCAGGAAGAUCACAGAACCAGGCUAUGCUACAUAGUGUGACUCUGUCUAAAGGAAAACGAAACAAAUUAAAUCCUUGAAUUUAGAAAUUACUCUUUGCUAGUUUGUAUAGCAUGCUGUUUGUGUAGUAAGAGCAUAAAGUUCUUUGUAUUCAGAGUGUUUCUUUUUCUUUUUUUCUUACUUGAGAGAAAAGAUCUAUGUAGGAAAGUUGAACCUGAGUAGAACCUAUUGUUUCUAUGUUCCCAGAACAAGUUAAUGAAACUCCUUCAGCGGUUGCCAAACAGUGUUGUUAGGAGAUUACAUCGUGAAAGAUUCAAGAAGCCCUCCUGGUUAACUCCUGUGCCUGAAAGCCAUAAGCUUACUGAUGAAGAUGUUACAGACUUUGUACAAUGCAUUAUUCAGCCUGUCCUCUUGGCUAUGUUUAGCAAAACUGGUAGUCUAGAAGCAGCCCAGGCUCUGCAGAACCUUGCACUUAUGAGACCUGAGUUAGUAAUACCCCCUGUGCUUGAAAGGUAAGCUCAGUUUUGUAACUCAAGUCCCGGGGAUUUAAUGCUCUUUUCCAGCACCGUGGGUACCAGGCACACAUGUGCUGUACAAGCAUAAUGUUUGAACAAAACACCUGUAC